rnacentral:rRNA from 1 species
UACGUAGGUGGCAAGCGUUGUCCGGAUUUACUGGGCGUAAAGAGCGCGCAGGCGGUCGUUCAAGUCGCGUGUGAAAGCCCCCGGCUCAACUGGGGAGGGUCACGCGAUACUGAUCGACUCGAAGGCAGGAGAGGGAAGUGGAAUUCCCGGUGUAGUGGUGAAAUGCGUAGAUAUCGGGAGGAACACCAGUGGCGAAGGCGACUUCCUGGCCUGUUCUUGACGCUGAGGCGCGAAAGCUAGGGGGGCAAACGGG